UAUCCUAACCGUGCGAAGGUAGCGCAAUCAAUUGUCCCAUAAAUCGAGACCUGUAUGAAUGGCUAAACGAGGCCUUAACUGUCUCCUACAGAAAAUCAGUGAAAUUGAUCUCCCCGUGACAAGGCGGGAAUGUACUCAUAAGACGAGAAGACCCUGUGGAACUUAAAAAUCAACGGCCACCGCACGCAACCCCAAAGCCAAACAGACUCACACGAUCACCAACGCUGGCCUACAUUUUUUGGUUGGGGCGACCUUGGAGAAAAACAAAUCCUCCAAACCCAAGAACACAUCUCUUAACUAAGAGCAACCCCUCAAAGUACAAACAGUAACCAGACCCAAGACAACUUGAUCAAUGGACCAAGCUACCCCAGGGAUAACAGCGCAAUCCCCCCCAAGAGCCCAUAUCGACGGGGGGGUUUACGACCUCGAUGUUGGAUCAGGACACCCUAAUGGUGCAGCCGCUAUUAA
rnacentral:rRNA from 1 species